CUCACCUACCAUCUGGUCAGACGCGGCGGCUACCACAGGUUUUGCAGCAAUUUACGGGAAUGAAUGGCUUUGGGGUAGCUGGCCUCCAGAGGUACAGGACCUGGAAGGGUUUUCCACUACCUCAGCUCUAUUUGAGAUGUAUCCCAUUGUAGCAGCUGCCGUGACAUGGGGGCAUCUAUGGGCAGGUUCGUCAGUACGUUGCCACUCAGACAACCAAGCUACCUGCCAC